CUAGCUGUGAUGAAGCAUUGACCUGUAAGAAGAACCUUUAUUACUUGGUUUCUUCUAUGAAAUGUACUUGAUACGCUUGGCUUCUGAGUUUG